UUGUAGGUAUUCCUUUCGUCUUUCUUUUACAGAUGAUGUGGUCAACAGAGGCAAAGACUUGCCGUUUUGGUGCAAGGCUGGCUGGUGGUGGCAGACCUUGAGCGUGGUGCGCGCUGAAGGCGCACAUGGGGUACCAGCGGCGCGAGGCAAGGCAGGGAACCCUAGGGUUCCCUGAUGCUGUUUAAUUUUGGGCCCUAUUGGGCCGGUUAGGGUUUUAAAAAAUGGGCCGUUUCAGCCCAAUGUACAUAGACUGUUAUUAUUUUUAUUAUUUUUUUUGUUUUGUUUCGGGCUCGGGCUAAAUUGGGCCUCUACAUCAUGUUAUAAAGAUAGUAACAUGAAGUAAUUCAAUUAAGCUUUACAUUUUUUGUGAAAACCAUGUUUUAUUUCUAUAAAUAAGUUCCGCUUGAGGGUUUCUUGAAAAUAAAUAUUUUAUUAACCCUCAGUAUGGGCAUGAUGG
rnacentral:lncRNA from 1 species